UUGGCUGAAUGCCAAUCCAUUGAAAAUCAAUUCAUCAGGUUCCGAUAACAAUAGCGGGAGCAAUGUUAAUGGACAAGUCUGGAAGAAAACCACUAAUAAUGGUUUCUGCAGCUGGGACAUUUUUAGGCUCCUUUAUGGUUGGAACUUCUUUCCUUCUCAAGUCACUCAGUUUGUUGCUUGGAUGGGUACCUAUUCUAGCUGGUACC